GUUUUUUGCUCUAAUGCAUAUUUCCAAAUCUUUCUCUUGAUCUACACCAUUCCUUUUUGCUCUACUCUUUUCCAAAUCUACCUCUUCUCUAAGCUUAUUCAUGGCAAGUAAAGAUUCCUUUGUAAGGGUUGCAACCUUCACUGGCGGAGAAGCCCUAGAUAUAUUUCGAUCAUCAUCGACUAGCAAGUAACGAUACCCACUAACGUGAUAAGCAUUCUCACCACCCCAUCCUUUUGAUAGUUUCUCUUCAACUUUCAACAUCUUAAGGGAUGCAUUUUCAAGAACUUGC
rnacentral:misc_RNA from 1 species